AGGGUAUUGCCCCAGUAACGGCGAGUGAAGCGGCAACAGCUCAGAUUUGAAAUCCGGCGCUCGCGCCCGAGUUGUAAUCUGGAGAGGAAGCCUCUGGCGACGCGCCGCCCGAGUUCCCUGGAACGGGACGCCUUAGAGGGUGAGAGCCCCGUAAGGGACGGCGCCUAGCCUCUGUGAGGCUCUUUCGACGAGUCGAGUAGUUUGGGAAUGCUGCUCUAAAUGGGAGGUAAAUUUCUUCUAAAGCUAAAUACCGGCCAGAGACCGAUAGCGCACAAGUAGAGUGAUCGAAAGAUGAAAAGCACUUUGGAAAGAGGGUGAAACAGUACGUGAAAUUGCUGAAAGGGAAGCGCUUGUGACCAGACUCGCGCCCGGCGGAUCACCCAGCCUCGGCUGGUGCACUCCGCCGGGCCCGGGCCAGCACCGGUCCGGCCCGGGGGAGAAAGGCGGCGGGAACGUGGCCCUUCGGGGUGUUAUAGCCCGCCGCGCAAUGCCCUGGGCGGGACCGAGGCCCGCGCUCUGCAAGGGUGCUGGCGUAAUGGUCAUCAGCGGCCCGUCUUGAAACACGGACCAAGGAGUCGUCCUCGCAUGCGAGUGUUUGGGUGUAAAACCCCGGCGCGUAAUGAAAGUGAACGUAGGUGGGAGCCUCGGCGCACCAUCGACCGAUCCUGAUGUUCUCGGAUGGAUUUGAGUAGGAGCAUGCGGGGCCGGACCCGAAAGAAGGUGAACUAUGCGUGUAUAGGGUGAAGCCAGAGGAAACUCUGGUGGAGGCUCGCAGCGGUUCUGACGUGCAAAUCGAUCGUCAAAUAUGCGCAUGGGGGCGAAAGACUAAUCGAACCUUCUAGUAGCUGGUUUCCGCCGAAGUUUCCCUCAGGAUAGCAGUGUCGAGCUCAGUUUUAUGAGGUAAAGCGAAUGAUUAGGGACUCGGGGGCGCUAUUUAGCCUUCAUCCAUUCUCAAACUUUAAAUAUGUAAGAAGCCCUUGUUACUUAGUUGAACGUGGGCAUUCGAAUGUAUCGACACUAGUGGGCCAUUUUUGGUAAGCAGAACUGGCGAUGCGGGAUGAACCGAACGCGGGGUUAAGGUGCCAGAGUGGACGCUCAUCAGACACCACAAAAGGUGUUAGUACAUCCUGACAGCAGGUAAGCUCCCCUUUGGCCCUCGAGAGAGGCUCUUUUGCUAACUAGGUCGCAGGACGGUGGCCAUGGAAGUCGGAAUCCGCUAAGGAC
rnacentral:rRNA from 1 species